rnacentral:tRNA from 1 species
GCCCAGGUGGUGGAAUUGGCAGACACAGGGGACUUAAAAUCCCCCGGCCGCUAGGCCUUGCGGGUUCGAGUCCCGCCCUGGGUACCA